rnacentral:rRNA from 1 species
GACGAACGCUGGCGGCGUGCUUAACACAUGCAAGUCGAACGGAAAGGCCUCUUUCGGGGGGUACUCGAGUGGCGAACGGGUGAGUAACACGUGAGUAACCUGCCCUUGACUUUGGGAUAACUUCAGGAAACUGGGGCUAAUACCGGAUAGGAGCUCCUGCUGCAUGGUGGGGGUUGGAAAGUUUCGGCGGUUGGGGAUGGACUCGCGGCUUAUCAGCUUGUUGGUGGGGUAGUGGCUUACCAAGGCUUUGACGGGUAGCCGGCCUGAGAGGGUGACCGGCCACAUUGGGACUGAAAUACGGCCCAGACUCCUACGGGAGGCAGCAGUGGGGAAUAUUGCACAAUGGGUGGAAGCCUGAUGCAGCAACGCCGUGUGCGGGAUGACGGCCUUCGGGUUGUAAACCGCUUUCGCUCAUGACGAAGCUUUGUGUGACGGUAGUGGGUAAAGAAGCACCGGCUAACUACGUG